rnacentral:rRNA from 1 species
AUACGUAGGUGGCAAGCGUUGUCCGGAAUUAUUGGGCGUAAAGCGCGCGCAGGCGGCUAUGUAAGUCUGGCGUUAAAGCCCGGGGCUCAACCCCGGUUCGCAUCGGAAACUGUGUAGCUUGAGUGCAGAAGAGGAAAGCGGUAUUCCACGUGUAGCGGUGAAAUGCGUAGAGAUGUGGAGGAACACCAGUGGCGAAGGCGGCUUUCUGGUCUGUAACUGACGCUGGGGCGCGAAAGCGUGGGGAGCAAACAGGAUUAGAUACCCUGGUAGUCCACGCCGUAAACGAUGAGUGCUAGGUGUUGGGGGUUUCAAUACCCUCAGUGCCGCAGCUAACGCAAUAAGCACUCCGCCUGGGGAGUACGCUCGCAAGAGUGAA